rnacentral:rRNA from 1 species
GACGAACGCUGGCGGCGUGCUUAACACAUGCAAGUCGAACGAUGAAAGCGGGAGCUUGCUCCUGCUGGAUUAGUGGCGAACGGGUGAGUAACACGUGAGCAAUCUGCCCUUGACUCUGGGAUAACGCCGAGAAAUUGGUGCUAAUACCGGAUAUGACCCCUGGCGGCAUCGCUGGGGGUGGAAAGUUUUUCGGUCAAGGAUGAGCUCGCGGCCUAUCAGCUAGUUGGUGAGGUAACGGCUCACCAAGGCGACGACGGGUAGCCGGCCUGAGAGGGUGACCGGCCACACUGGGACUGAGACACGGCCCAGACUCCUACGGGAGGCAGCAGUGGGGAAUAUUGCACAAUGGGCGCAAGCCUGAUGCAGCAAUACCGCGUGAGGGAAGAAUGCCUAUGGGCUGUAAACCUCUUUUUUUCAGGGAGGAAGUAAAAUGACGUGUACCUGAAGAAUAAGCAUCGGCUAACUCCGUG